rnacentral:siRNA from 1 species
UGGUUCUUGGGUUUAUUUACU